CCUACGGGUGGCAGCAGUGGGGAAUAUUGCACAAUGGGGGAAACCCUGAUGCAGCGACGCCGCGUGAGUGAAGAAGUAAUUCGUUACGUAAAGCUCUAUCAGCAGGGAAGAAACACUGACCUUACGGUCAGCAGACGGUACCUGAGUAAGAAGCCCCGGCUAACUACGUGCCAGCAGCCGCGGUAAUACGUAGGGGGCAAGCGUUAUCCGGAUUUACUGGGUGUUAAGGGAGCGUAGACGGUACGCCAAGGCUGGAGUGAAAUGCCGCAGCUUAACUGCGGAACUGCUUUGGAAACUGGCGAACUAGAGUGCGGGAGGGGUAAGCGGAAGUCCUGGUGUAGCGGUGAAAUGCGGAGAUAUUAGGAGGAACACCGGUGGCGAAGGCGGCUUACUGGACCGUAACUGACGUUGAGGCGCGAAAGCGUGGGGAGCAAACAGGAUUAGAUACCCUAGUAGUC
rnacentral:rRNA from 1 species